UGAAUACGAGACGCUAAGGCGUCGAAGUAGUGUAUGUCAUACUUCCAAGAAAAGCUUGCACUGUCAUAAGUAAAAAAUGCCUGUACCAUAACCGACACAGGUGGGUAGGUAGAGUAUACUAAGGGGCGCGAGAUAACUCUCUCUAAGGAACUCGGCAAAAUAACUCCGUAACUUCGGGAGAAGGAGUACCUUAUUCUAUAAGGUUGCAAUAACAAGAUCCAAGCAACUGUUUAUCAAAAACACAGGUCUCCGCUAAGUCGUAAGACGAUGUAUGGGGGCUGACGCCUGCCCAGUGCCAGAAGGUUAAAGAAGUCGGUUAGCAUUAGCGAAGCUGGUAACUGAAGCCCUGGUGAACGGCGGCCGUAACGAUAACGGUCCUAAGGUAGCGAAAUUCCUUGUCGGGUAAGUUCCGACCCGCACGAAAGGCGUAAUGAUUUGGAUACUGUCUCGGAGAGGGGCUCGGUGAAAUAGACUUGUCUGUGAAGAUGCGGACUACCUGCACCAGGACAGAAAGACCCUAUGAAGCUUUACUGUAACUUGAAAUUGAAAUUGGACUUUAUUCGCGCAGUAUAGGUGGGAGGUGUUGAUUAUAAUCUUGCGGGAUUAUUGGAGCCAUCAGCGAGAUACCACUCUUGUAAUGUUAGAUUUCUAACUUUGAAUCAUUAUCUGGUCAAAGGACAGUUUCAGGCGGGCAGUUUGACUGGGGCGGUCGCCUCCCAAACGGUAACGGAGGCGUACAAAGGUUUCCUCUGAACGGGUAGAAAUCGUAUCUAGAGUGUAAAGGCAUAAGGAAGCUUGACUGUGAGACCUACAAGUCGAACAGGGACGAAAGUCGGUCUUAGUGAUCUGACGGUACUGAGUGGAAAGGCCGUCACUCAACGGAUAAAAGUUACUCUAAGGAUAACAGGCUGAUCUCCCCCAAGAGUUCACAUCGACGGGGAGGUUUGGCACCUCGAUGUCGGCUCAUCGCAUCCUGGGGCGGUAGUACGUCCCAAGGGUUGGGCUGUUCGCCCAUGAAAGCGGUACGCGAGCUGGGUUCAGAACGUCGUGAGACAGUUCGGUCCAUAUCCGGUGUAGGCGUUAGAAUAUUGAGAGGAGCCUUCUUUAGUACGAGAGGACCGAGAAGGACAUACCUCUGGUGUACCAGUUAUCGUGCCAACGGUAAACGCUGGGUAGCUAUGUAUGGAGUGGAUAACCGCUGAAAGCAUCAAAGUGGGAAGCCCACCUCAAGAUGAGUGCUCUCACAGGGUUAACCUGGUAAGGUCACGGGAAGACCACCCGUUAAUAGGCACUAGGUGGAAGUCCAGUAAUGGAUGGAGCCAAGGUGUACUAACAGACCGAGGGCUUGACC
rnacentral:rRNA from 1 species